CAGUAGCCGCGGUAAUACGGAGGGGGCAAGCGUUAUCCGGAAUUAUUGGGCGUAAAGGGUACGUAGGUGGCCUUUUAAGCGUAGGGUAUAAGGCAAUGGCUCAACCAUUGUUCGCCCUAUGAACUGGAAGGCUUGAGUGCAGGAGAGGAAAGCGGAAUUCCUAGUGUAGCGGUGGAAUGCAUAGAUAUUAGGAGGAACAUCAGCGGCGAAGGCGGCUUUCUGGACUGCAACUGACACUGAGGUACAAAAGCGUGGGGAGCAAACAGGAUUAGAGACCCGUGUAGUCCCUGUCUCUUAUACA
rnacentral:rRNA from 1 species